UGGGGAAUCUUCCGCAAUGGGCGCAAGCCUGACGGAGCAACGCCGCGUGAGUGAAGAAGGGUUUCGACUCGUAAAGCUCUGUUGUCGGGGACGAAUGUGGAGAUGGUGAAUAACCAUUUCUAAUGACGGUACCUGACGAGGAAGCCACGGCUAACUACGUGCCAGCAGCCGCGGUAAUACGUAGGUGGCGAGCGUUGUCCGGAAUUAUUGGGCGUAAAGGGAGCGCAGGUGGGAAAGUAAGUCAGUCUUAAAAGUUCGGGGCUCAACCCCGUGAUGGGAUUGAAACUACUUUUCUUGAGUGCAGGAGAGGAAAGCGGAAUUCCUAGUGUAGCGGUGAAAUGCGUAGAUAUUAGGAGGAACACCAGUGGCGAAGGCGACUUUCUGGACAGUAACUGACGUU
rnacentral:rRNA from 1 species